rnacentral:rRNA from 1 species
GGCUCAGGAUGAACGCUGGCGGCGUGCUUAACACAUGCAAGUCGAACGAUUAAAGCCCCUUCGGGGGUGUAUACAGCGGCGAACGGGUGAGUAACACGUGGGUAACCUGCCCCUCACUCCGGGAUAACUCCGGGAAACCGGAGCUAAUACCGGAUACUCCGGCCGGACCGCAUGGUCUGGUCGGGAAAGCCCCGACGGUGAGGGAUGGACCCGCGGCCCAUUAGCUUGUUGGUAGGGUAACGGCCUACCAAGGCGACGAUGGGUAGCCGCGCUGAGAGGCGGAUCGGCCACACUGGGACUGAGACACGGCCCAGACUCCUACGGGAGGCAGCAGUGGGGAAUUUUGCGCAAUGGGCGAAAGCCUGACGCAGCAACGCCGCGUGAGGGAUGAAGGCCUUCGGGUCGUAAACCUCUUUCAGCAGGGACGAAAAUGACGGUACCUGCAGAAGAAGCCCCGGCUAAAUACGUGCCAGCAGCCGCGGUAAUACGUAUGGGGCAAGCGUUAUCCGGAUUCAUUGGGCGUAAAGAGCGCGUAGGCGGCUUGGUAAGUCAGAUGUGAAACCUGGGGGCUCAACCCGCAGCGUGCAUCUGAAACUGCCAGGCUUGAGUCUGGUAGAGGAAAGUGGAAUUCCCAGUGUAGCGGUGAAAUGCGCAGAUAUUGGGAGGAACACCAGUGGCGAAGGCGGCUUUCUGGGCCACGACUGACGCUGAGGCGCGAAAGCUAGGGGAGCAAACAGGAUUAGAUACCCUGGUAGUCCUAGCCGUAAACGAUGGGCACUAGGUGUGGGGGGUCAUCAACUCCCUCCGUGCCGCAGCUAACGCAUUAAGUGCCCCGCCUGGGGAGUACGGCCGCAAGGU